AAAACAAAUCGGACGUCCCACUCAGACUCCCAAAGUUGUGCAUAGGCCACGUCGUUUACAAGUGGACAACUGCAACACUGUACCCACGGUGCACUUGUGGUGCGUAACGUAGGCGCACACAUUGGUGCAAACUUCGGUGAGGCCAGUGAUUGCUCCACAACUUAUUUAAACGUCAAAAGAGCUUUAAACAAGUGGGUCAACUUAAACUACCACGAUGUCGAGAGGCGAGACACUGAGAGGAACAGCAGGUUGACUGACGAAGGUGUCUGUCUUUUUCUGGGCACUACUGAACGGUGAACUGCUAGGGUGACAGAAGGGAAACUCAGGUAAGAGAUGAUUAGCAAGCCAAGUUAGCGGUUGGGGAGGGAAAAGUAGCAAUACUCUGACAACACAAGUUAUAAACCUCCGGGGAUAAAUCGACUUUGAAUGUGAACAUUGUAGUAACGACAGAAGCGUUUAAAAUGAUUUGGUGGUCGCCCACACACUGAGUUGACAUGAGUGGUACCCCGCUAGCCGAGCGAUGUUAGCAUUUUAGCACAGGCAUACUACAGGCAUUGCUGGUAUUUGCAGCACUAUGCUGAAUUACAUCUUCCGAAAAGACACAUGCAUUGUAAAAUAGACACGCUGACUGGGAGUUCUGCUUUAUGUGGAUAGCCUACCCGCUUCGGACUGAAGGCAAUGCAAAUAGUUCAGGAACAGGUUACUACUUGGCGCGUACUGAGUGAAGUCACUGACGGGAAACAUUGCGCAAGCGUACAAAUCAAGGGGGCGUGAUUGUGACCCAAAGUCAAAUGUUGAAGAAGACCGCUACAGGGUGAAGUUUGGUCAUCGUAAGACAGACCCUGCAACACACCAGAGGCGCACCAUGCUGAAGCACAUUGUGGUUCUUCUGGCUCUUGUGUAUUUAUCAGAAGCUGAAGACACAAUAAAAGAAAUACUAUUCCUCCUAAGAGAAGUGCGAGAACAGCAACAUCUUCUCACAUUUGUUUUAGAGAACUCCUACUAUCCUGGUGUAAGAAUCCACUGGAAUAUGAUCCAGUGCAAAAUGGUUGUUGGGUAUGAGCUAUUAAAGGCAUUGGACCAUGUUACAAUAACAUCUUCUCCCAAUACACACAGUCUUUGGGACACGGUGAGAAAAUUGCAAAUCAACGUUGAAGGUUUGCUGGAAGGGGAGCGCUCAAAAAGCACAAUAACUGUGGAAGAUAGCUGUACCAAAGACAAAAUCAUGUUUAUCAAGACAUACAGCAUGUCAAACUCAGUAUUCAUAGAACAUUACAUAGGAUUCUUCCAAGAUUGGCUGGCAAAUACAUCAUGAACUUGACUUCAUCUUCACAUCUAAAAUUAUGAACCGAUGACUGGAUGUAUUUCAACGUGAAGUAUGGGAUAAGUGUGUUUCCAACAAUUCAUGUUGCAUUGUAUUUAUUGUAUGUAAAUAUGUAUUUACAGCUUUAUUGAACUGUAUUUUUUUGGAAGCUUUUCAACACUUUUAUAUUCUAACUGUGAUGAAAUGUCAAUGUUAUUCUUUUUUUCUUUUUUUAAAAAAGCGGAAUUAUGUAGAGUAAGUCAGUUUUACAGUAUGCAAUAUAUUGUGUUGAAUGUAUUUUCAUUUGUAAUUAUUUAUUUAUAGUAAAUUGAGUACCAAAGAAGAGCUUGUUAUGAUAUACAAAGAGCUGAAUAUUCUGUCUCGAUGCAUGCUGUGCCUUAUAAGAGUAGGGCAAGGGGACGGGGGAGUCUGAGGAUGGGGGGGUGCUGGCUCCACUUCCUGCGUCGGAGAACCUGGGGAGGCACAUCCCUCCCCCCCGUCCCCUAUGCCCUGAUGGGAAUUCUUUACUUACUGGUCUUCUGACUGGAUGUCAGGCAUAUGUUGCAAGCAGCCUGUAAAGGAUGGUGCAGGUCGCAUGUACGGACUGUCACAUAGGUGCAAGGCAUUUCUUGCCUCCUUCCCUCUGUCAUCCAUCCUUGUUGCACACUUGCUAUAGUUUUAUAUUGGACAGUCGUUUAUUAUUCAAACUGGACAUGUGAUCUAGGAAAGGAAAUUCGCCGUAUAUGACACAUGAGGACAUGUGUAUGUCCAUGUCUAUGGCUAUGUCUCAAAUCAUGCACUUGUGCACUUCGGCACUGUUUUUCAGUGCCUAAGGCGCUCACGUUGAAAAUUUCAGUUGAGCCAGUGCACUGAAAGUGCCAGGAUGAUCUCCUAACAAUGGUGGGAAAAUGCAGUGCUUGAAUGAUGGGCUGAAUCUCAAAUGGUGCACUUGUGCACUUCAGUGUCCAUGUUUCAGUGUGUAUGCCGUAUUAGUUACGCACUGAAACAUAGUGCCUGAAGUGCACAAGUGCGCCAUUUGAGAUCCAGCCAUGGACACUGCAUGCACUAAACGGCGGCCAUGUUGACAAUGACAUGGAGGAAAUGUGGCAUUCAGUUCAGUAGGCCUAGAAGAGUUUGGUCAACAGUCUCCUAAUUCUGUAAGUAAUGUUGAUGGUGCACCAACCUUUUCAUGCCAACCAAAGUAUUGUAUGUGUGAUUGUUGUCCUUUUGGGUGAAAGAAAUGGAAAAACAAGCACCAGACACUGUGCAUUGUAAACAGUAGCCAACUGAUAUUUUGGCGAGCUAAUGCCAUGCUCAGCCGUCACUUCCAGCGAGGGCACAGUGCGUAGUGCUCAAGUUUUUCCACGACCCUAUGCACUAAAGACCUCAGUGCACUGUGUGCACUGUGCACUGACUGUCAGUGCACUGACACAAGUGUGUGAUUUGAGACAUAGCCUAUGUCUUGUAUAGUUGGUUUGACAACAAGUGUUAUUUUUCAGAUAACACAUUUGUAUUUGAAAUCUUAAAAGAAUUUAAAUACAAAACUUGAGUCGACAACAAGGACAGAGGCAAAACGACUUGCACCUACACUGUACAAUGCAGGUUUUCAAAUAUUGUGAUAUGGAGAAAUUCCAGCAGGGGGCAGCAUUGUCCUAACUCAUCCACCGUAUCUCAAAGGUGGAUCAUCAUA